rnacentral:sRNA from 1 species
GCUGGGCAUGGUGGCGCAUGCCUGUAAUCUCAGCUACUCAGGAGGCUGAGGCAGGAGAAUUGCUUAAACCCAGGAGGUGGAGGUUGCAGUGAGCCAAGAUCACGCCACUGCACUCCAGCCUGGGCAACAGAGCAAGACUCUGUCUCAA